AGAGUUUGAUCAUGGCUCAGAAUCAACGCUGGCGGCGCGCUUAACACAUGCAAGUCGCACGAGAAAGUGGAGCAAUCCAUGAGUAAAGUGGCGUACGGGUGAGUAACACGUGGAUCAUCUACCUCUUAGUGGGGAAUAACCCUGGGAAACCGGGGCUAAUACCGCAUAAGCCUGAGAAGGGAAAGCAGCAAUGCGCUGAGAGAGGAGUCCGCGGCCGAUUAGCUAGUUGGUAGGGUAAUGGCCUACCAAGGCAAUGAUCGGUAGCCGGCCUGAGAGGGCACACGGCCACACUGGCACUGAAACACGGGCCAGACUCCUACGGGAGGCAGCAGUGGGGAAUCUUGCACAAUGGAGGAAACUCUGAUGCAGCGACGCCGCGUGAGCGAUGAAGCCCUUCGGGGUGUAAAGCUCUUUCGACGGGAACGAUAAUGACGGUACCCGGAGAAGAAGCUGCGGCUAACUACGUGCCAGCAGCCGCGGUAAUACGUAGGCAGCAAGCGUUGUUCGGAAUUACUGGGCGUAAAGAGUGUGUAGGCGGUUCUCUAUGUUCGGUGUGAAAUCUCCCGGCUUAACUGGGAGGGUGCGCCGAAAACUGGAGGGCUUGAGUAUGGGAGAGGAAAGCGGAAUUCCUGGUGUAGCGGUGAAAUGCGUAGAUAUCAGGAGGAACACCUGCGGUGUAGACGGCUUUCUGGACCAUCACUGACGCUGAGACACGAAAGCGUGGGUAGCAAACAGGAUUAGAUACCCUAGUAGUCC
rnacentral:rRNA from 1 species